CUGUGUGCUAAGCUAACGCUAACAAAGGUAGGAUGGAGAAGUGAGUGAAGAGCUGGAGGAAGAUCAGAUCUCUGGAGGAAGAUCAGAUCUCUGGAGGAAUCAUCCAGUUUGUGUCCAUGUUUGAGAAUUCUGACCCAGAACUCCUUCAACCACCUCUUUGGCUGCUGGGAUGACGGUGGACAUCCUGGAUCCUGGUCCAGUUUGAUCAUCACAGUCUCUCCAUCACGCGCUCCCUCCCUCGCCGCGUGCACCGGUGAGUCGGGGAUGACGUGCGACCUGUACCUGAGGAGACGCCGGGCACGCGGCCUGGGGGGCCGGAUGAGGGGGAUUCGGCUGCCAUGGCAACAGGCCGGUGAGAUGCGCACGUUUAAGGCUCGUUUAUUUAUUUAAUAUUUCAUUUGCAUGCGCCGCGCGCCUCCGUGGACGUGCCCGUUCGACCUCUGAGUGUCGGGAAGUGGGAUCGGCGGAAGAACCGGAGAAGCAUCAGCACCGGAGAAGCGCAGAAUCGGAGAACCGGAGCACCAGAGCACCGGAGACCUUCAACAAGUUGUUUCAUUUCCCGAGGAGCGGCUCUGACCACCGGUGAAGGACGCAGCUGCCGCCGGUGUCUGGACACGGAAAGUGGGCAGAAGUGGGACUAACCGGAGAAUUACCGGAGAAUAGAUGAGGAACAACCGAGCAGGGAGCGUCGCACCGGGAAGUCCGUCGUGAUGGAGGUUUUCUUCUGACUUCUCUCCGCCCGCCGUGACACGCCGGUUUUCCGUGUGCGUGUCACCGUGAAUCAGAUUCCGUUUCUUCCCGUUAAUAACCGGAUCAAGUGUCCUUCGUUCCGUUCCUUCACGCACGAUGAUUGACGUGGACGCCGACAGAACCGGGUGAGCGAACCGGACGGAGGAGGCAAGCACCGAACACCGACGGCCAGUGAGUGUGGAGCUCCGUUAUCUACCGUAGACCGGGAAUCCGGUCACAGUAUGACAGGCCGGGGAGCGGUGAGGGCGGCUGGGGAGAGGAGAGGGAGGGCCCGGGGCGGAGAGAAGCGUUUCAAGGACGAGGACGGCGGAAGGACGGAGGAACAUCUGUA
ensembl:lncRNA